UACGUAGGGGACGAGCGUUGUCCGGAAUUACUGGGCGUAAAGGGGCGCAGGCGGUAUAUCAAGUCAGCUGUCAAAGACUGGGGCUCAACCCUGGUAUGCGGUUGAAACUGAUAUGCUGGAGUGCUGUAGAGGCAAGUGGAAUUCCCAGUGUAGCGGUGAAAUGCGUAGAUAUUGGGAAGAACACCGGUGGCGAAGGCGACUUGCUGGGCAGCAACUGACGCUGAGGCGCGAAAGCCAGGGGAGCAAACGGGAUUAGAUA
rnacentral:rRNA from 1 species